rnacentral:lncRNA from 1 species
UCAAAGAUAGAUUUUUUAUUGGUUUCAUACAAAUUUAAAUGGACUUUUAUGAUGAAGAUAAGUAUUAUUCUCUAUGCACAAGAAAAAAAAAUACUAAUUGAAAUUACAUUCCCCUUCUUUUACAAGAAGGUGCCUGAGCACAUAUUUCGUUAUGAGGAAGAAAGUUACACGACACAAUAUGGAGAAAACCCUCGAGAUGCAGAAUUACAAACACCACACUAACGAUGGUAAACGACCGAGCAGGAAUAAAGAAAGAAACCCACAACGCACCCCACCCAACUGAAAAGGACAUUACAAAGCCAUACGAAAACAACGAAAACAACUGAGAUACACUAUGACUACCCGCUACGACCGCCAAAAUAGCCCAAGCAUCAUAAGGCCAACAAUGGUACGUUGCGGAGGGGCAAACAAGACGACAUCUACAAGGAGAGCAUGGCGUCGAGGACGUCCAUUCAAAGGACUAAGUUUUCACCGGCCAACAAUGGUACGUUGCGGAGGGGCAAACAAGACGACAUCUACAAGGAGAGCAUGGCGUCGAUGACGUCCAUUCAAAGGACUAAGUUUUCACCGGCCAACAAUGGUACAUUGCGGAGGGGCAAACAAGAUGACAUCUACAAGGAGAGCAUGGCGUUGAGGACGUCCAUUCAAAGGACUAAGUUUUCACCGCACAAAGGCUGAGCGGUGGGGAGAACUCGACAACGCCCCCAACAGGGUAAGUGCGUCCUUCGACAUAGCCAUUAUCGGCACUAGCAAAAACUCGGAGAGUCUUCACACGUGACACCCACACCCC